rnacentral:misc_RNA from 1 species
GAUGAAGAACGUAGCGAAAUGCGAUAAGUAAUGCGAAUUGCAGAUCUCCGUGAGUCAUUGAAUCUUUGAACGCACAUUGCGCCCCCUGGUAUUCCGGGGGGCAUGCCUGUCCGAGCGUCAUUACAACCCUCAAGCUCAGCUUGGUGUUGGGCCCCGCCGCCCCGGCGGGCCCUAAAGUCAGUGGCGGUGCCGUCCGGCUCCGAGCGUAGUAAUUCUUCUCGCUCUGGAGGUCCGGUCGUGUGCUCGCCAGCAACCCCCAAUUUUUUUCAGGUUGACCUCGGAUCAGGUAGGGAUACCCGCUGAACUUAAGCAUAUCAAUAAGCGGAGGA